GGGUAGAGUUUCUCUGUCAGCCGACAUAAACGUCUCUUCCUCCUUUCCUCGUCUCUGUGUGACUCGCUCUUGAAGAGAUCCAAAAGACGGCCGUUGGUCUCGUGACUUCACUGGUUAGAAGUAGGUGUUUGGGCGGUUCUACAAGUGACUCCGCCUUUUCCUGUUCUUCGGCCAUUGGUCCACAUUCUGACGGCAUCAAACCGAGCAGCCGGGAUGUGGUGCGCGAGUCGUGGGGAGCGGUUGACCGCUGGGCGGCGCGCAGCUGCGGAAGGAGCAAGGCAUCCAGCUCCUCCAGCCGCUGCUGCAGCAGGGGUCCCACAUCUGGGCUGGGGGCCACGUUAGGAGUAAGGGUCCUGCCAGCUGCAGCCCGGACCCCACGAGAUGGCCUCCGGGAUCGAGGAAGGCUGCUGUCCCGAAAUUCCACAGCCCGCCGCAGCUUCCUUGAGCUGAUCCCCUAAACUGGAUCCAAGCGGAAAGAAUCCUACAGUGCGU